rnacentral:piRNA from 1 species
UAUAUAAAAGCUGGCAUCCAAGAUAGGAG